rnacentral:rRNA from 1 species
CCCUUAGAGUUUGAUCCUGGCUCAGAUUGAACGCUGGCGGCAGGCCUAACACAUGCAAGUCGAGCGGUAACAGAUUGAUAGCUUGCUAUCAAUGCUGACGAGCGGCGGACGGGUGAGUAAUGCCUGGGAAUAUGCCCUGAUGUGGGGGAUAACUAUUGGAAACGAUAGCUAAUACCGCAUAAUCUCUUCGGAGCAAAGAGGGGGACCCUCGGGCCUCUCGCGUCAGGAUUAGCCCAGGUGGGAUUAGCUUGUUGGUGGGGUAAUGGCUCACCAAGGCAACGAUCCCUAGCUGGUCUGAGAGGAUGAUCAGCCACACUGGAACUGAGACACGGUCCAGACUCCUACGGGAGGCAGCAGUGGGGAAUAUUGCACAAUGGGGGAAACCCUGAUGCAGCCAUGCCGCGUGUAUGAAGAAGGCCUUCGGGUUGUAAAGUACUUUCAGUUGUGAGGAAGGCAGUAAAGUUAAUAGCUUUGCUGUUUGACGUUAGCAACAGAAGAAGCACCGGCUAACUCCGUGCCAGCAGCCGCGGUAAUACGGAGGGUGCGAGCGUUAAUCGGAAUUACUGGGCGUAAAGCGCAUGCAGGUGGUCUGUUAAGCAAGAUGUGAAAGCCCGGGGCUCAACCUCGGAACAGCAUUUUGAACUGGCAGACUAGAGUACUGUAGAGGGGGGUAGAAUUUCAGGUGUAGCGGUGAAAUGCGUAGAGAUCUGAAGGAAUACCGGUGGCGAAGGCGGCCCCCUG